GGGUGGAGUGUGUAGGGGAUGUCCUGAUAUGUGUGUAAGGAAUGCAUUGUGUGAAAUUGUGUUUAUAUGUGUAAGGGCUGCAAGGUGUGUUUCUGUGUAUGUAUGGGAUGCAUUGAAUGUGUGUAAGGGGUGCAUUGAGUGUGUGUAAUGAAUGCAUUGUGUGUUUCUGUGUGUGUAAGGGAUGCAUUGUGUGUAACGGUUGCAUUGUUUGUGUAUGUGUGUCUGUGUGUUUUUCUGUGUGCAAGGGGUGCAUUGUGUGU